rnacentral:rRNA from 1 species
GGAUUAGAUACCCGGGUAGUCCACGCCCUAAACGAUGCGAACUGGAUGUUGGGUGCAAUUUGGCACGCAGUAUCGAAGCUAACGCGUUAAGUUCGCCGCCUGGGGAGUACGGUCGCAAGACUGAAACUCAAAGGAAUUGACGGGGGCCCGCACAAGCGGUGGAGUAUGUGGUUUAAUUCGAUGCAACGCGAAGAACCUUACCUGGCCUUGACAUGUCGAGAACUUUCCAGAGAUGGAUUGGUGCCUUCGGGAACUCGAACACAGGUGCUGCAUGGCUGUCGUCAGCUCGUGUCGUGAGAUGUUGGGUUAAGUCCCGCAACGAGCGCAACCCUUGUCCUUAGUUGCCAGCACGUAAUGGUGGGAACUCUAAGGAGACCGCCGGUGACAAACCGG